GCUGAACUUAAGCAUAUCAAUAAGCGGAGGAAAAGAAACCAACAGGGAUUGCCCUAGUAACGGCGAGUGAAGCGGCAACAGCUCAAAUUUGAAAUCUGGCGCAAGCCCGAGUUGUAAUUUGUAGAGGAUGCUUCUGGGUAGCGACCGAUCUAAGUUCCUUGGAACAGGACGUCAUAGAGGGUGAGAAUCCCGUAUGUGACCGGCCCGCGCCCUUUACGUAGCUCCUUCGACGAGUCGAGUUGUUUGGGAAUGCAGCUCUAAAUGGGAGGUAAAUUUCUUCUAAAGCUAAAUACCGGCCAGAGACCGAUAGCGCACAAGUAGAGUGAUCGAAAGAUGAAAAGUACUUUGGAAAGAGAGUUAAAAAGCACGUGAAAUUGUUGAAAGGGAAGCGCCUGCAACCAGACUUCGCGGCAGUGUUCCGCCGGUCUUCUGACCGGUUCAUUCUCUGUCGCGAGGCCAUCAUCGUCUCGGCCCGCCGGAUAAGACCUGAGGAAUGUAGCUCCCCUUCGGGGGAGUGUUAUAGCCUUGGGUGAUGCGGCGCGGCCGGGGCGAGGUCCGCGCUUCGGCAAGGAUGAUGGCGUAAUGGUUGUCGGCGGCCCGUCUUGAAACACGGACCAAGGAGUCUAACAUCUAUGCGAGUGUUCGGGUGUCAAACCCCUACGCGUAAUGAAAGUGAACGGAGGUGGGAACCGCAAGGUGCACCAUCGACCGAUCCUGAUGUCCUCGGAUGGAUUUGAGUAAGAGCAUAGCUGUUGGGACCCGAAAGAUGGUGAACUAUGCCUGAAUAGGGUGAAGCCAGAGGAAACUCUGGUGGAGGCUCGCAGCGGUUCUGACGUGCAAAUCGAUCGUCAAAUUUGGGUAUAGGGGCGAAAGACUAAUCGAACCAUCUAGUAGCUGGUUCCUGCGA
rnacentral:rRNA from 1 species